UACGUAGGGGGCAAGCGUUGUCCGGAAUCAUUGGGCGUAAAGCGCGUGUAGGCGGCCCGGUAAGUCCGCUGUGAAAGUCGGGGGCUCAACCCUCGAAUGCCGGUGGAUACUGUCGGGCUAGAGUGCGGGAGAGGCGAGUGGAAUUCCUGGUGUAGCGGUGAAAUGCGCAGAUAUCAGGAGGAACACCGAUGGCGAAGGCAGCUCGCUGGGACGGUACUGACGCUGAGGUGCGAAAGCGUGGGGAGCAAACAGG
rnacentral:rRNA from 1 species